UAUGAAGGAUGCGAGCGUUAUCCGGAUUUAUUGGGUUUAAAGGGUGCGUAGGUGGUUUUUUAAGUCAGUGGUGAAAGUUUGUCGCUCAACGAUAAAAUUGCCAUUGAAACUGGAGAACUUGAGUACGUUUGAGGUAGGCGGAAUGCGUGGUGUAGCGGUGAAAUACAUAGAUAUCACGCAGAACUCCGAUUGCGAAGGCAGCUUACUAAGCCAUAACUGACACUGAAGCACGAAAGCGUGGGUAUCAAACAGG
rnacentral:rRNA from 1 species